rnacentral:rRNA from 1 species
AGCACAGAGGAGCUUGCUCCUCGGGUGACGAGUGGCGGACGGGUGAGUAAUGUCUGGGAAACUGCCCGAUGGAGGGGGAUAACUACUGGAAACGGUAGCUAAUACCGCAUAACGUCGCAAGACCAAAGUGGGGGACCUUCGGGCCUCACACCAUCGGAUGUGCCCAGAUGGGAUUAGCUUGUAGGCGGGGUAACGGCCCACCUAGGCGACGAUCCCUAGCUGGUCUGAGAGGAUGACCAGCCACACUGGAACUGAGACACGGUCCAGACUCCUACGGGAGGCAGCAGUGGGGAAUAUUGCACAAUGGGCGCAAGCCUGAUGCAGCCAUGCCGCGUGUAUGAAGAAGGCCUUCGGGUUGUAAAGUACUUUCAGCGGGGAGGAAGGUGNUGAGGUUAAUAACCUCAGCAAUUGACGUUACCCGCAGAAGAAGCACCGGCUAACUCCGUGCCAGCAGCCGCGGUAAUACGGAGGGUGCAAGCGUUAAUCGGAAUUACUGGGCGUAAAGCGCACGCAGGCGGUCUGUUAAGUCAGAUGUGAAAUCCCCGGGCUUAACCUGGGAACUGCAUUUGAAACUGG